rnacentral:tRNA from 1 species
GCGGGCGUAGUUCAGUGGCAGAACAUCAGCUUCCCAAGCUGAGGGUCGACGGUUCGAAUCCGUUCGCCCGCUCCA